AAGUGUGUGGUAGUAACAGAGUAUUCAACGACAAGUAAAUGCUUGAACACAGCGAGUGUGCGUAUGUUUCAAUUUAUCAACAUAAUCAAUGGAACCAAUGAUUUUGUUCCUAAACACAUCUUCCACUUUUGCAUGAAAGCAAAGGGAGAAAGAAAAAUAUAAUCUCUACAAAAUUGUUUGUUUGAAUUAGAUACUAUCAUGUGUGUCGGUGUCUGAGAAGUAUUCAAGUGAGAACCGACAUGAUAUUUAAGAAGACAUCUUCUUUGCAAGGAAUUGUAAGACCACCCAUUGGAUGAUGGUAUCCAUAUUCUUCCUCUGCUUUGCUUAGCAAGUCCUGGAACGAGGGUUGAUUCAAGCAUCCAAUCGGAAUCACGAACCUCUUCUUUUUCUCUCCGACAUACACUGCAAGGGUACUCAAAACUUAUAUUCAGUGGUUGCAUUUGUACAAUGCCAUUCAUUGUGAUAACAGCUUGAAUGACAAGUCCUCGCCAACAGCACGGAAGGUACUUGAGAUUGAACUCUCCAUCAGCACCUCAGAGUUUACUACGGAACAAGUACAAAGCAACAUACAAUUUAAUUGCAGACUGAGACAUUGUUUGUUGCAUUGGUAUAUUCCUCUAUUGUCAUCGUUGUGUAUUUGGAUGAAGUAUUGGAAUAAUGGAAUAUACCUUCAGUUUCACUCUAACUGCCAGGAAAUACCACAAAAGACCAGUUGAGGGAGGCAGAUGGUAUAGAUGGUCGUCAAGUUUGUGCUGGAUCGUAUUUUAAUUCGUUCAUAUAUACAAAAGGGAAUUGUGAGUCCUCCCAUAGGAUGAUCAUAACCGAACUCAUCUUCAGCUUGUUUUAACAAUUCUUGAAAUAAAGGCUGGUUCAAGAAUGAUACGGGAAUCAUGAACCUCUUCAUUUUCUCUCCAACGUAGAUUGCAAGGUAGCCUUUUGGGACUUCCGCAACCUUUCUAGCUUGGCUUGUAAAUGAUGUCCGUCUUCCAAGUAAGUGAAAACCCAUUGUUUUCGCUUCUACACACAAAGAACUACAGGGUGAUCUCAGAAGAUUAGUUAAAGGUUGUGAUGAAUUUGAAUUCAGCUGAUUCAGUGUAAUGACUUGUGAAGCUUGUAUGCUCAAUGAUAGAUGAACACACAUAUAUAGAUAGAUAACUCAAGCCUCUCUCCUGAAUUGGGUGGUGAAUGUACCAUUUGAUAGGGCCAAGGGAGAGACAGAGCUCAUUAAGGUUGAUGUGAUAUGUCUUGGAUGGUCAACCAUCAGAUUUUACUUGAGAUCUAAUAAAUUCUGCCUACGGAGAAGUCCUUGGACAGAUUACCAUCAGACAUGCUAUAGACACAUUAAAUAUUGUGUUCAUGGUCUCUAUAAGCCAACUGGAAGAUAUUGAUACACUAUAAAACCGACAAUCUAUUUGAGUUAUUGGAUAACAUUAUUUUAAGACAGGAGAUGUACUGCUUUUAAUGAUUUUACGCUGGCUAAUUCUACAAGUUCCUCUGGCAUAUGGCCG